rnacentral:lncRNA from 1 species
CUCCCCCAUGAUAGGGUGAAGCUGGUGCAUGAGUCACAAACGAUUGAAGCCCACCACGGUGGAAGGCCUACGAAGAGAUGUUCAAAACAUCUCUCGCUUAUCAACUUAAUAUUCGUUUGUCGAGGGAGUAGUUUUGGGCUACAUCAAAAUCAUUUUAAUCAUAUUAAAAGAACAUGGGCCUAUCACAACUAUUGGUCCAAGUUAAUAUGAUUUUAGUAGUUUAUAAUACUCCCACUAUUUCGAAGAAAUAAGUGAGACUAUAUGGAACUACUAACGGAUGCAUUGCAUCCUCAUAUGGACUAUAUAGUCAUAUUAGGUUUUAGGAUGAUUAUGAACC